GAUAAGUACUUAAUUACAUCACUAAUAGUUGAACCUAUCUGCGAAUUCCCAAAUUUACGGGGCUAAAACAUGACAAGCACUAAAUUAGUACUAGUAGUUGGACUAAUGCACGAAAUUCCGAUAAUAUAAGGCUUUUUCUGCAAUCUAGCCUAUCGCCCGUUGGUUUUUUUUCUUGCUGGUUAUUGCAACGUGGGCCACAACCCACGAGGCCUUUCGGCCCAGGCCCAUGGCGGCGCCGCUGAAGGAGCGGAUAAGGGGGACUGGGAGGUGGGGCGGUUGGGGUCAAUCCCCCCCAUUCCACUGCCACCUCCACGGGAUCCCGCCGGCCGCCGCCGAUGGCGCCCAGCGCCGGCGAUCUUCAGGAGGAGGACGUCCCCCCCGCAGCGUAGCCGGGGAGGUGGAGGCUUGCAGGGGCCCAGGAGCCGGAGCGGAGGCCGGGGUGGUGCUGCUCCAACGCCGCCGCGAAACGAUGAAGGAUCCGUCGAGCCACGGGUGGCGGCGUUCGCGGGCUUGCUGGGGCGGAGGCGGCGGAGAUGCUGGGGCCGUGGAAGACAACGCCUCAUCCUCGAUCUUCAUGCCGGUGGCAAUGUUGAGGUCGGGGACGGUAGCGCCGGGUUCAUUGGUCUCCGCCGGUGUGCUUGGCUCCUGCUUCACAACGGAGUUGAGCCACUGCUCCUCCUCUUCGUUCGGCGUCACCUCCCACUCCAUCAUGGCGGGCACGGGGCCAUAGCCCGGAGGGGCGAAGUGCUCCUCGUCUUCGUCAGCGGGCGUCGGUGUAGUGAGGUCCGGGUAGGCGAGCGGCUCGUCGAUGACCUCCGGUUCCGGUGGUGGAGUGGCCGGCGGUGGAGGGCACGACCCGUACCCGUGCACGGGGCAGAAAUCGCGGGCAGGGCAAGGGACGAAUCCGUGCACCAGGCAAAAGGCCAUGCCUGCGUCCAUGCCAUUGCCGAAGAAGAUCCCCGGCGGUGGCGGGGCCUGGGCGGCGUCGAAGAACUCCUCCUCGCCCAGGAACGGGGCUGCAGCCUCGGCAGGAGCCCAGUCCAUUGGCGGAGCGACGAAGGCCGGCAUCAGGGGUGCCUGGUAGGCGUGGUGGACGGCGGCAGAUGGGUUGCUUGGUCCUGCCUACUCUGCGGCAGCGGGGCCAGGGUGAUCAUGACGACCAUGGCGACCACGGCGAUCACGGCGGCCGUUGCCUGGGCCCCAAUGGCGAGGAACACCAGCACUGUGGCGUCUGGCAGAUCGACGGAUCUCCCGUCCAAUGAAUCGAACAAGGGCAGAGGCGAUUCUGUGCAGGUUCACCCCUGCCAUCUUACGUUCUCUCUCGUCCUGUUCAUGCUCUGUUUUUCUUGUCGGAAUUGCUCUCGCCGGGGAGCAGUGCUGAUAACGUGUAAGAAUUCGUGAGAAACUUGUGUUUAUUGAUUCUGGGCAAAGCCCUAUUUAUACAAGGAUUUGGGGCGCCUCCGGAGAGGCGUCCAUUUACAAUAGGCGCCUGUGGUGCGAGAAGACGCCCGUACGGACAUUUACGUCCGUACGGCGGCGCUUUGGACACACGUACGACUCUUAGCGCUAAUGACGUCGCUUUAUUCUUAACAGAUUUCAUGCACUCCUUUCACCUCACCACACAUGCCACAUCAAAGGUCCGCUCAAAAUGCAUGAAAUAAGUUUUCCGUUAAGUUAUCCCACUUAUAUUCAAAAUGUUCUCUGACUACACAAUAAUCAAAUACAAUAUAUAAUUUUUAUUUUUAGCUUUAGUUCAUAUAUUAUUAAUUCAACUAUGGAAGCUUCAUACAAUCAAAUCAGUGAAAUAUAUUGCAAUCGAUUCCUGCAGCGUGCGGGGUAUUUUCUAGUUCCAGAAGAGGCGGGGUGAGCAUGGA
rnacentral:rRNA from 1 species